rnacentral:rRNA from 1 species
AGCGAACGCUGGCGGCAGGCCUAACACAUGCAAGUCGAGCGCCCAGCAAUGGGAGCGGCAGACGGGAUAGUAACACGUGGGAACGUACCUUUCAGCUCGGAACAACCCAGGGAAACUUGGGCUAAUACCGAAUACGCCCGUAAGGGGAAAGAUUUAUCGCUGAAAGAUCGGCCCGCGUCUGAUUAGCUAGUUGGGUGGGGUAAUCGGCCCACCAAGGCGACGAUCAGUAGCUGGUCUGAGAGGAUGAUCAGCAUCACGUGGGACUGAGAC